rnacentral:rRNA from 1 species
UCGAACGGAAAGGCCGGGUGCUUGCACCCGGUACUCGAGUGGCGAACGGGUGAGUAACACGUGGGUGAUCUGCCCUGCACUUCGGGAUAAGCCUGGGAAACUGGGUCUAAUACCGGAUAGGACCAUUGGUUGGUACUGGUGGUGGAAAGUUUUUCGGUGCAGGAUGAGCUCGCGGCCUAUCAGCUUGUUGGUGGGGUAAUGGCCUACCAAGGCGGCGACGGGUAGCCGGCCUGAGAGGGUGGACGGCCACAUUGGGACUGAGACACGGCCCAGACUCCUACGGGAGGCAGCAGUGGGGAAUAUUGCACAAUGGGCGCAAGCCUGAUGCAGCGACGCCGCGUGGGGGAUGACGGCCUUCGGGUUGUAAACUCCUUUCAACCAUGACGAAGCUUUUGUGACGGUAGUGGUAGAAGAAGCACCGGCUAACUAC